UACGAAGGAUGCAAGCGUUAUCCGGAUUUAUUGGGUUUAAAGGGUGCGUAGGCGGACUUAUAAGUCAGUGGUGAAAUCUCGUUGCUUAACAACGAACGUGCCAUUGAUACUGUAGGUCUUGAGUACAGAUGCCGUUGGCGGAAUGUGUCAUGUAGCGGUGAAAUGCAUAGAUAUGACACAGAACACCGAUUGCGAAGGCAGCUUGCUAAACAAAUAUUGACGCUGAGGCACGAAAGCGUGGGGAUCAAACAGG
rnacentral:rRNA from 1 species